GCGACUCCACGCCUGCGCUAUAGGUGCAACUUCGCUCUGUUUGCCGUGGCUUUUGUUCGCACACACCUGCCUGUUACUAUGAGUAUGGUGGCGACCGCAGGUCUGGAUUGCUGGACAGCUUUUUCUUUAUACCUCGAGGCUUUCUUUGAAGGAGUCAGAGCAUUUACAAGGCCGCCUCAAGAGGGAUUGAGUCGGGGGAGGAUUAGCAGUAUUUGCUUAGGUUGUAAAACCGCGACUUUAUCUAAUUAUAAAUAAAUCGCCAUUCAAGGUGCAAAUAUAAACUUGUAACAGAGUUUUAGAAAACCAGCAUGAGGAGAUGAUUUGAUUAUGAUUUUUUUUAAACACUUGAGUCACUUGAGUUGUUAAAAUAACUCCAACAUAUUCAUGAAGGAUCUUCACAAAAUGGACUUAGAUGUAAAAGUAGCUUUUGUUGAGCCUCAGAAAUCAAACACAUUUUUUGUCAAUAGCGCUAAAUAUUUAUGACACCAAAGGCAAAGACCAAGGCUUCCCUCUGACCAGCACUCCAUGAGGCACAAGAUAGGUUCAACAAAAAACUGUUUCACAACAUCAUUUUUAUUGUCACUGAAUCUUCUGGGAGGAGAAAUCUGCACUUGCUGUCUUUGCUUCCUUAACCCGGUCACUCAGUAACCCACUGCUCCCUGACUUCACCCCCUACCUCCACUGAAACUGCUUUGCCAGCUAAUCCCCACUCAUCAGUCAAGAUUCAGGUCAUUAGCCAAUUUGAGGAAUACUUCUUUGACCCCUUAGGUGGAGUUAAGAGCUGCUUUCAGAGCUCAAGGUAAUGUAUAAAUGUCUGUCCUGGCACUUACUGUGUAGUAUUGAAAAAUAAUGUUUACAUCUUGGUUACUAGAUAUAAAUGAGUUCCUCAAGAUCAGAGACUGUUUUUAUUCAUUUCUAAAUUUCGAAACCCUGGCAAAGUACCUAGAACAUAAAAGCUACUUGAUAAAUCUUGUUGAACUGAUGUGAUCUACUCUCAAUGAACCCACAUUUUAGUGGGAGAGACACCUUGCUGACAACUGAAAUAUUAUAUAAUGAAGUCAGUGCCACAUAAGAUGUAUGUUUAAUGGGUUGUAGGAGCUCUGAUGAGGUACCAUAUCUCAUCCCCCUUAUGAUGUCAAAAACUAAACUGAGAGGAAAUUGGAAAUAAGGUCAGAAUUACAUUGUGGUUCUCCAAGUAGGAGAAUAAAGAAAUGAGAGACUUACGCUAAUAUUACAUGUACUAUAAAUGCCAAGCAGGACUGUGUGCUCUGGGUGAUUAUGUUCUUUUUCUCAAGCAGGAUUUCAGCAGAUUGUGGUGACCACGGAAACAGACAUCUCUGGUGCCCUCCAUUUCUGGGAGAUAAUCAGUUUGUUGUCCCACUACCUGCUUGUGUCAGUGCUCUAUGUGGGCACCAAUACAUGCCUCUUUGUGAAGCAAAAAUGAGCACAUUUCUCUCAAUAAAACGGUAUAAACCAUCUUGAGGCCUGGUGAAACUCUUGUCUUUUCAAAGACAUACCUUCCCUUAGAAUCAGUGAUUACUGAGGGUCUUUUCUUGUUUAAUCCAGAUGAUCUGCCUCUGAAACCUUCUGUGGGCACAGAAAUUUCUGCAAGGAAAGCAUCAGCAACCAGAAUAAUUUGGUGAGGAAGAUUUGGCACAGAAUACCCUGACACAGGUACUGCUCCUAAAGGAGCAGUCCUCUGGAGUUAGGAGUCAGUAAUUAGGUGCCUACAAAACACCCUUCUAUUUUGACUAAACAUGCCUUGCUAUCAAGGAGAAGAAAGAACUGUGCACUGAAAACCCUAAGAGCCAAACAAAGAAUGUGGUUGUGAUCAUGAAAAAUAUCCUUGAAUAUCAGGGAAUAGGAGACAGGGCAGUUGAAGGAAGGGUAGGAAAAGGCUACUUCCUAGCAUAAAUUAAUAAAUUUUUUAUUAUUUAAUAAGAGAAAUACAUUUUUUGUUUCAAAUAAGGCAAAGAUAAGUUAGGACUGGAUAUAGCUAUAGAUCCCUAUUUCUGACACAGGCUGAUAAAAAUAAAGGAAGUCGGAACACAACCCCACCGUCACCCACAUCCCACUUUGCAAAAAACAUGAUCCAACUACCUCUAGAUACUGGGCUGUGGACUGCUAGGAAAGUCUCAGGAGCCUUUGCUCUACUGAUUGACCUACCUUUAGAUUGACAGCAGCAGCUGUGGAGUAACAUCUGAAUGUUGAUUGACGAAGCAGUUUGUGAGAAUAAAGCAGGAAGGGAAAACACUUAACCAGUUUCUAUUUCUUGUUGUCUUAAGUUUGCAUCUUGCUAAAGAAUCAAACUGUAGUGUAAUCCAGAGGAAGAGUAUUUCUCAUCCUGGCAGCCCUGCUGUACCACAUCUGCUUAUCCAUAGUGAAAGACACCAUAUUUUUAAGAAAAUAUAAAAUGCAGAGAUGAAAACUAUUUUAAAGCAAAUGAUUUUAAAUAAAAAGAAAGUUGCAUACUCAUUUUAAAUGAUUUUAAUUUUCUGAAUAUUAUGUUCCAACUCAAAAGAUAUUGCACAAUGCUUUAAUAUUAUACUUGUUACUUUUCUCACACUGGUGAGAUUUUGAUAAACAUAGUUGACUUUGGGAGUAACAUAGAGAAUGUUUUCAUUGGUUAAAUAAUUUCAAUGACCUGUGAGGAACUGAAAGCAAGAUAUUACAUUCAUAUAAAAGAUAAGUACAUAUGCAUAAAUUCACUUGGAUUCAAUGAAAAAUAAUACACUUCUCAUGUACUUAAUAAAACUUAAAGGAAACAAAAUUUAAAAUGAUGCAAAAAUAGAAUGUAUUUCAAAAAGUUUUCAGUGUACUUUUGCUUUUGAAAAUCCCUAGACCUGAAAGAAUUCUAAGAAUAUCUGGCCAUAUUAUAAGCCUCUUAUUUGUAGAAGAUAACACUUAAUAAUUUU